rnacentral:rRNA from 1 species
GACGAACGCUGGCGGCGUGCCUAAUACAUGCAAGUCGAGCGAAGUUUUUCUGGUGCUUGCACCGGAAAAACUUAGCGGCGAACGGGUGAGUAACACGUAAAGAACCUGCCUCAUAGACUGGGACAACUAUUGGAAACGAUAGCUAAUACCGGAUAAUAGCAUUAACUGCAUGGUUGAUGUUUAAAAGUUGGUUUUGCUAACACUAUGAGAUGGCUUUUCGGUGCAUUAGCUAGUUUGUGGGGUAAAGGCCUACCAAGGCGACGAUGCAUAGCCGACCUGAGAGGGUGAUCGGCCACACUGGGACUGAGACACGGCCCAGACUCCUACGGGAGGCAGCAGUAGGGAAUCUUCCGCAAUGGGCGAAAGCAUGACGGAGCAACGCCGCGUGAGUGAAGAAGGAUUUCGGUUCGUAAAGCUCUGUUGUUAGGGAAGAAUGAUUGUGUAGUAACUAUACACAGUAGAGACGGUACCUAACCAGAAAGCCACGGCUAACUACGUG